AUCUGAACAAGCGCGCACGUUGCUUCGCUCUAGUCAGCACCGCCUAUAAAUACGAUCCAAACCUGCAUCCAUCAAACGCACAGGGGGCAAGCAUCGAUUGAAAUAGUGCUUAUAGUUAGUGGUAAUUGUUGCUAAGAUGAGCUCACCGGCGGCUGAGGGCAAGGUGUCUGACGCUCCCAAGACGGAGUAGCCGGAGCUUGUGGGCCGGAAGAUCAAGGAGGCCAAGGAGAAGAUCAAGGCGGACCGGCCGGACCUCAAAGUCGAGGUGGUCACCGUCGGCACGAGGGUCACGGAGGAGUUCAACAUGAAGCGAGUUCGCCUCUGGGUUGACACCGUGGCGGAGGUGCCCAGGAUUGGCUAAGGCAGCUUAGAUUUGUGUGACAUCAAUAAAUGGCCCAUGCAUGUGCGAGCACUUCACAGUGGGCCAAGUGAAGAAGAAGAUGAAAACAUAUUUGUGAUGUAGUGGUUUUGUUUGUGCUAUGUGCCGGCUCGUGUUACUGUUAAAUGUAAUGUGUGUUUGGCGUUUCAAUAAUAUCUCCACGGUACACAUUAAAUCCAAAUUUAUAUGAAUAAAUUAUUUUGGCAUUUCCGCA